rnacentral:rRNA from 1 species
AGCAGCCGCGGUAAUUCCAGCUCCAAUAGCGUAUAUUAAAGUUGUUGCAGUUAAAAAGCUCGUAGUUGAAUUUCGGGAUUAGUACGCUGGUCAUGCCUUUGGUAUGUACUGGUGUUACUGGUUCCUACCUUCUGAAGAACCGUUAUGUCAUUUAUUUGGUGUGGCGGGGAAUCAGGACUGUUACUUUGAAAAAAUUAGAGUGUUUAAAGCAGGCUCGCGCUUGAAUACAUUAGCAUGGAAUAAUGAAAUAGGACGUUUGACCCUAUUUUGUUGGUUUCUAGGAUCGACGUAAUGAUUAAUAGGGAUAGUUGGGGGCAUUAGUAUUCAAUUGUCAGAGGUGAAAUUCUUGGAUUUAUUGAAGACUAACUACUGCGAAAGCAUUUGCCAAGGAUGUUUUCAUUAAUCAAGAACGAAAGUUAGGGGAUCGAAGACGAUCAGAUACCGUCGUAGUCUUAACCAUAAACUAUGCCGACUAGGGAUCGGAUGAUGUUAUUUAAUGACUCAUUCGGCGCCUUACGGG